AUUAUGUAACGUUGAAUAAGAUAACCACUCUCCUUUUCCCAAAAAAGUGCUAAUAAUUAGGAGUGGGCAUAUUGGAGAAGGCGAGAAGAAGUCAAUACUGCUGAAUUAACAACCUUGUUAACAUCAGCUCCCUGUUAUUUGAGUUUGGAAGGAGAAAAUGUACUACUUGAACUAUAGUGAAAUAAUUAAAGGAUUUGAUACACAAAAUAUUUGUGGAUGGACAUUUCGUAGAGCAUGAAGAGAAGGAGGAGAAAAUGUAUUAUUGCUAUAGAGAGGAGAAUCUUCAACAUUUGAAAUAACAUUAGUACAGGGAAAAUAAUAAAAUUUUACUUAUUUUAUUAUGGAUUUUCAAAACAGUUUAUAUCAAAGAUAUGCAAUAAUACUUGCUUCAGAGGGAAAUAUUAGCACCACAACGACAUAUAACGUUUUGUUCAAACUAAGGAAUACUUUAUAAGUUGAAUGAUCAUUUUUUUUUUUUUAUUUUUUUUUAUUACCUACUAAGGGCUAUAUUUUCUAUCUUACUAUUCGUAAAAAUAGUUAUUAAAUAAAAAAGUUUGGGUUGACUGUUUCAUAAUAAUUAUUUUUAAUUUUAGUUAAUAAAUGAUUACCUCUGCUACGAAGUUGAACGCAGGGUAUGUCUAUACCUCUGUUUAUUGGUUAUUCACCAGGAUUACGGCAAAAGUUAGACGUGGAUUUUAAUUAAAUUUGGCGGUUUAGAAGGUUUUGCGCUCAACCGAUUGGCCAUACCUGAAUUACAGAAAAGCCAUGCCAGUGUUUCCUGUCAUCAAAUCAGCUACGGUUCUAACAGUCUUAUUUUCUGUUUGAUGCUCCUGGUGGGAAGUGUGAUCGGCUCACUACUCCUACAGACACCUGGGAAGAAAAUGAUAGCUACUAGAAAGGAAAGAAUUUUGAAAAGUCAUAAAAGUGACCAAUGAUGUGGCUGUGAGAGGUGUGAAACGGAUGAGUGACUUCGCGACUCGAAUCACAACUGAGCCAGAUCAAAGAAUUUGCUUACUAAAAUUAUUAAGUACCCCCGGAACAAAUUUGACACUUUCAAGGAAGCCACAUUGAACAAGUGACAAUACAUAUAUUGGUGACAUCCUAUUGACAAAUUAAUUUUUUGCUCACUUUUGUUA
rnacentral:lncRNA from 1 species